GCCACUUUUGUUCUUACUUAACGCCUCUUUUUCCACCGUUAAUCAACCUCUCCCCGCUUCAGCCAUGGCAGCAUUGUUGAGAUCCCUCGUCCUUGCACUCGUGCUCUUCUCCCUCUUCCUUUCCCACAUUCCAGGUGUAACAUUUCCAAGCGUGGUAUUAUCGUCAGGAGUUGAAGCAGGGGCAACAGUGCAAAGAAGUCAGUGUAGGCGCAAUAUUGAGUGCUUGAAUCAGAUUAUUUGUCCGUUUGGCCUCCUACUUUGUACCUUCGGAAAAUGCAUUUGUGUACCUCCCUCUAAUAUUUAGAAUAAAGGAAAAAAAUAGUUGGCAAUGUUCUAA